UUCGCCUACGGGACGCAGCAGUGGGGAAUAUUGCGCAAUGGGGGAAACCCUGACGCAGCAACGCCGCGUGCGGGAUGAAGGUUUUCGGAUCGUAAACCUCUGUCAGGAGGGAAGAAAGCGCAUGGCGCCAAUCAGCCAUGCGUUGACGGUACCUCCAAAGGAAGCGCCGGCUAACUCCGUGCCAGCAGCCGCGGUAAUACGGAGGGCGCGAGCGUUAAUCGGAAUUACUGGGCGUAAAGCGCGCGUAGGCUGUUGUGUAAGUUGGGGGUGAAAUCCCACGGCUCAACCGUGGAACAGCCCUUGAU
rnacentral:rRNA from 1 species